CAGCAGCCGCGGUAAUACGAAGGGUGCAAGCGUUAAUCGGAAUUACUGGGCGUAAAGCGCACGCAGGCGGUUUGUUAAGUCAGAUGUGAAAUCCCCGAGCUUACCUUGGGAACUGCAUUUGAGACUGGCAAGCUAGAGUCUUGUAGAGGGGGGUAGAAUUCCAGGUGUAGCGGUGAAAUGCGUAGAGAUCUGGAGGAAUACCGGUGGCGAAGGCGGCCCCCUGGACAAAGACUGACGCUCAGGUGCGGAAGCGUGGGGAGCAAACAGGAUUAGAUACCCCGGUAGUCCCUGUCUCUUAUAA
rnacentral:rRNA from 1 species